rnacentral:lncRNA from 1 species
GCACAUCCACGACGGUCGUGGAUGGCCUCCACGUCCCCCCCUCAUCCUAUAACUACGUCCACAGAAACCCUAGCCCCCAUCUCGCCCAGCCCUCUCUCGAUCCCCCUUCGUCCUCUUCCUUCGUCACUCGAAAUCGAGCUCAGAAAACUCAUGGUCACCACUGUCCCGUCGUUAUUGUCACGACCACUAGCAUUUAGGGCGUGCGGGAGCACGUCCAGGAGGUCCGCCGCGGCCAUCUUCGUCCGUACCGGGAACCAGAUCAAGCCGAGACUGUCCAUGUGCUCGCCAUCGAGCCCUUCUCUUCCGCGGACGUCACCACCUCGUCGGCGUUGCCACUGCUCCGGGCCACCUCCGACCUUCUAAGCUCGUCCACGAGAACCGGGGUGAGCUUCCCCCUCGGAUCCUACUUUUCCCCCUUCAAUUUGGACGCGUAGGCCACCAUCACCGUCGUGCCCCGCGUACGCGUACAUGCGUGUAGAUGCUGCUCUGCUUCGUUGCACUGCUGCUCGCACUUGAUGCUGCUCUUCACACUGCUGCCGCUUGUGCUGCAUCACUUCCUGCUGCCGCCGACGCCCGCUCACCCUCGUCCCGUCGCUCGCUUCCGCCGCCACGCCCGCGGCCACGGCGCCCGACCACGCCGCUCGCGACCCACGACCGGCCUCCAUGUACAGACGCCCUGGCGCCCGCCUCCACCACUGCUCCAGCCACGCCCCUACGCCUUGUCUCGCCCCAGGCCGGCCCUGCGCGCGCAUGCUGCCGCUAGCCGUUGCCGCCGGCUGCUGCUACAGCUGACCAUGGCCGAGCGGCCGUGCGUGUUGUGCGUGCGUGCAGUGUGUGUGUGCGCUGAGUGUGUGGCCGCGCCCACCUCCGGCCUUGCCCGCCUUUGGCUGGCCUCGCCGCGCCGCCACUGCCGCUCCCUGCUACUGCUCUGCCCGCUGCACUCAGCUACUGCUCCUCUGCUACAGUACCGUUCAGUUACUGUAGCAGUAGCCAGCUUUGCAGCUAUUACACUCACUAGCCCUCUUGACAACCCCUAAACUACAACUAAACAAAAGUUAAUAUGCGUAAAAUUCAUAUGGGCGUGUAGUACACUUAACAGGGUUCGAUUCUUUCCAUUGGACCAAAUCCAAAAGUCGCCUAGAUUAAUUCCUAUGAAAAUGACAAAAGUCUAUGUUCAGUUAACAGAAAAGACUGAAAACAGAGUUAUUGUGGUAGCUACCUUAGAGCAGAAAAUAAACAGGAUACAUAGAUCUAACAGAGAUGCAAUUGAUGCCAUCUUGUAGAUCAUAGAAAAUUGAUCAAGAUUGGUAUUAGGCACUAAUUCAUAGAAUGUGCAGAACACUAGUUAUAGCCUCUGGAAAACAUCUAAGUGAAGUUUAAAGACUGAACCAUUCUCAGAGUUGGCCAAUUUUCAGGAAUUCCAAAUAACUAUUUAAAUCUCCGGAAAUUUGCAGAAAAUAAACCGUAGCUCGGAUCGAAAAACUUUCUACAUGAAAGUUGAUCAGAAAAACGAGAUGAAUCCGACCGUGCCGUCUGUUUCCUUGUCGGGACCCUCUACGGAGGUGAGACCGCAACUUGUUGCCCGUUUCUGGUAGAUGAAUAGUGCAUAUGUUAGCAUAGCAUGCUCCGUGUUGCAUAUAUUUGUUGUGUAUAUAUUUGUUUCCUCCCCCUCUUCUCUCUCGAUAGAUCCCGGUAUCGAUGCAGUCCCCGAGACCGACGCAGCUCCGGAGACCGACUACACCGUUGACGACCCUGCUUUUGGCGCAGAGCUUCCACGCAAGCAAACCCCCCUUGUUCAUUCCGAUAUCGCCCAUUUCGUUCCCUCUCUUACUUGCAUUAGAACUGCUACUGCUUUUUUAUGAUCCUAUUCUGAUGCAUAGCCUGUUUUUGUUACCUGCUUUCAUACCUCACCUGCUUAUUCUAAAACUGCUUAGUAUAGGUUGGUUAGAGAUCCAUUAGUGACCCCCCCCCCACCUUGUCCUAGUUGCCCUGCUUUAUGUUCGAUGACUCGAUCAACAUGAUCGACGUCCAUGCCCCAACACCGCACAUCACCCCUCCCCCAUUUUUAGUUGUACGACUCUACAAAGUUAUUAUCGAGUGCCAAGGGUGAUACCUCGUCGGCACCUCUAAUGUUAACCCUGUAGUAGCUAUUCGGUCAUGGUCAUCGAGGGUGAUUCCUCCUUUACCACUCCCGAUAACGACUUUGUCGUGUAACCCCUCAAGUGUGGACCAUCGAGGGUGAUUCCUCCAAAGUCCACCUUGACGAUUACAUCGAGUAGGAGUCCAUCGAGGGUGAUUCCUCGGGGUUUCCCCUUGCUGUUUUGGACACACUGUUACUUUGACUUACCACAGAACCAUGAUGACAUCAGGUCAGCCCUGAGGGGUACCCGCGAGUGAUGUGAAGAUGGUUGAUCUAGAGGAUACCCGCAAGUUUUCCACGCGGCGCGGCUGGGCAUUCUUAGCCCUUGCCGCAAGUCCGUGAGACGAGGCGACGGGACCACAUAGCAUGGAUCAUUGAUUGUUACCGCACUACCAAGACACCAACAGUUUGGAUAUUUGAUCCGAGUAGGCCUUUGGCCUUUUUUGCACUAAUCACCACGCGGGAAUAAGUAUGGGCACUCUGCGUCGUAUGUAUCAGCCGAAAGCUCAACAGGCAUCAGCAAUGGAGCGACGCGCGCCAGAUUGGACUGCGUAAGCACCUGCCUUAUUUGAAGGAGGUAGCUAGGUCUGCUCACCGGCCGCGUAUGCAACGUGCAGGAGUGCAAAGGGUGAUCGGCCCAAGACCCCUGCGUGCUUAGGAUGUAGACCGACGUGUUGGCCUCUCUGACGAGCCUAGGUAGGACUGCGGUGUGUUGAUCAGCCGAGGGCGGUCAUGACCUGAUGGUGUGUCCGGCCGGAGUUGAUCGAGCGUGUUGGGUAAGUUGGUGCACCCCUGCACGGAAGUAUUAUCUAUUCAAAUAGCCGGGUCCAUGAUAAAGGAUGCUCGAAGUUGUAUCCCGAUUGAUACAACUAGAACUGGAUACUGAAUGCUAAGGCAUGUAACGGAUAUGUGGCUCCGAGAUUGCUUUCCCGAAGGGAGUCGGGGAAGGAUCUCUAGGCGUUAUUUCUACAACAUGUUUGUUAAAUAUAAACUGCUAUUCUAUACUCUUCUGAUUGCUGCAAGAUGCUUGGAGCUGCUUGAAGAUGCAAGUCUUUGAUAGGCUAGGCUUUCCCCUUCUCUUCUGGCAUUUUGUAGUUCAAUGCACAUAUACUACCCAUUUCAUUGAUACCGAUGCAUAUGUAGUGUAGAUCCUUGCUUGCGAGUACUUCGGAUGAGUACUCACGGUUUUUUGCUCCCCUUUUUCCACCUUUUUCCAUUCUUCUUGGAUGCUGCAACCAGAUGGUGGAGCCCAGGAGCCAGAUGCCACCUUCGACGACGACUGCUACUACACUGAGUGGGCCUACUACUACAUGGAGGCCGCCGAGAACCAGGAGUAGUUAGUACGCUCCCAGGCAGGAGGCCUUGCCUUUUUGAUUGAUGUUGCUUUUGUGCUAUCCUUCUUAAGGCAAACUUGUUUAACUCAUGUUUGUACUCAGAUAAUGUUGCUUCCGCUGACUCGUUUGUUUCGAGCUAAUGUAUUCGAGCCCUCGAGGCCCCUUUCUUGUAAUAUAAAGCUUGUAUUAUUUUAAUUUGUGUCUAGAGUUGUGUUGUGAUAUCUUCUCAUGAGUCCCUGAUCUUGAUCGUACACAUUUGCAUGUAUGAUUAGUGUACGAUUUAAUCGGGGGCAUCACAAGUUGGUA